rnacentral:rRNA from 1 species
GACAGAGGAUGCAAGCGUUUAUCCGGAAUGAUUGGGCGUAAAGCGUCUGUAGGUGGCUUUUAAGUCCGCCGUCAAAUCCCAGGGCUCAACCCUGGACAGGCGGUGGAAACUACCAAGCUGGAGUACGGUAGGGCAGAGGGAAUUUCCGGUGGAGCGGUGAAAUGCGUAGAGAUCGGAAAGAACACCAACGGCGAAGCACUCUGCUGGCCGACACUGACACUGAGAGACGAAGCUAGGGAGCGAAUGGG